CGACAUUCUUGUUCAGGAUUGUUUCUGAGGAUGGUUUGAUUUCCCUGGCGCUAAUGAGUGAGUUUAGGAAGUGAAAUCUUGCAUAACUCUAUGUGGAUUGAAUCAGAUAAAUGCCCGUUGUUGAUGGUGAUAUGAAACUAGCAGAUUUACCGUGAUCUCUGUCUGAUAUCAGCACUUGAACUCUGCGCUGGAUUUGUAUUUGUUUGCCGCAUUUCAUGUAUGUAGAGCUAAAGGUCCGCGAUAAGGCCUAGAAACUAGAAAGUAUUUUGAGAAUGUUAUUUUGUUUAAGGCUGUGAAUAGCCAAGCCAAAGGUGUUUCAGGUUUGUCCGUGUUUGAGUACCAAACUGAUAACUUUGUUUCUGCAGGAAUAAUAUGAAGAGACUGUUUCGACCGUGUGUCAGAGGGAAUCAGCCCCCCAGUUAGUCCGGCAUGAGGUGCACACAGUCAAAACGGAUCUAUAGACAAGAUGAAUACAAGGUCCUGUGUUUGAC